GGUUAAGUGACUAAGCGUACACGGUGGAUGCCUAGGCAGUCAGAGGCGAUGAAGGGCGUGCUAAUCUGCGAAAAGCGUCGGUAAGGUGAUAUGAACCGUUACAACCGGCGAUACCCGAAUGGGGAAACCCAGUGUGUUUCGACACACUAUCAUGUCAUGAAUACAUAGUGGCAUGAGGCGAACCGGGGGAACUGAAACAUCUAAGUACCCCGAGGAAAAGAAAUCAACCGAGAUUCCCCCAGUAGCGGCGAGCGAACGGGGAGGAGCCCAGAACCUGAAUCGGCUUGUGUGUUAGUGGAAGCGUCUGGAAAGUCGCGCAGUAAAGGGUGAUAGCCCCGUACACUAAAAUGCACAGGUCGUGAGUUCGAUGAGUAGGGCGGGACACGUGACAUCCUGUCUGAAUAUGGGGGGACCAUCCUCCAAGGCUAAAUACUCCUGACUGACCGAUAGUGAACCAGUACCGUGAGGGAAAGGCGAAAAGAACCCCGGCGAGGGGAGUGAAAUAGAACCUGAAACCGUGUACGUACAAGCAGUGGGAGCACCUUCGUGGUGUGACUGCGUACCUUUUGUAUAAUGGGUCAGCGACUUAUAUUUUGUAGCAAGGUUAACCGUAUAGGGGAGCCGUAGGGAAACCGAGUCUUAACUGGGCGAAUAGUUGCAAGGUAUAGACCCGAAACCCGGUGAUCUAGCCAUGGGCAGGUUGAAGGUUGGGUAACACUAACUGGAGGACCGAACCGACUAAUGUUGAAAAAUUAGCGGAUGACUUGUGGCUGGGGGUGAAAGGCCAAUCAAACCGGGAGAUAGCUGGUUCUCCCCGAAAGCUAUUUAGGUAGCGCCUCGUGAACUCAUCUUCGGGGGUAGAGCACUGUUUCGGCUAGGGGGCCAUCCCGGCUUACCAAACCGAUGCAAACUCCGAAUACCGAAGAAUGUUAUCACGGGAGACACACGGCGGGUGCUAACGUCCGUCGUGAAGAGGGAAACAACCCAGACCGCCAGCUAAGGUCCCAAAGUCAUGGUUAAGUGGGAAACGAUGUGGGAAGGCAUAGACAGCCAGGAUGUUGGCUUAGAAGCAGCCAUCAUUUAAAGAAAGCGUAAUAGCUCACUGGUCGAGUCGGCCUGCGCGGAAGAUGUAACGGGGCUAAACCAUGCACCGAAGCUGCGGCAGCGACGCUUAGGCGUUGUUGGGUAGGGGAGCGUUCUGUAAGCCGUUGAAGGUGGCCUGUGAGGGUUGCUGGAGGUAUCAGAAGUGCGAAUGCUGACAUAAGUAACGAUAAAGCGGGUGAAAAGCCCGCUCGCCGGAAGACCAAGGGUUCCUGUCCAACGUUAAUCGGGGCAGGGUGAGUCGACCCCUAAGGCGAGGCUGAAAAGCGUAGUCGAUGGGAAACAGGUUAAUAUUCCUGUACUUGGUGUUACUGCGAAGGGGGGACGGAGAAGGCUAGGCUAGCCGGGCGACGGUUGUCCCGGUUUAAGCGUGUAGGGGGUGUGACCUGGUAAAUCCGGUUGCAUAUCAACCCUGAGGCGUGAUGACGAUGCACUACGGUGCAGAAGUAGUUGAUGCCCUGCUUCCAGGAAAAGCCUCUAAGCUCCAGGUAACAUUAAAUCGUACCCCAAACCGACACAGGUGGUCAGGUAGAGAAUACCAAGGCGCUUGAGAGAACUCGGGUGAAGGAACUAGGCAAAAUGGUGCCGUAACUUCGGGAGAAGGCACGCUGGCAUGUAGGUGAAGUCCCUUGCGGAUGGAGCUGAAGCCAGUCGAAGAUACCAGCUGGCUGCAACUGUUUAAUAAAAACACAGCACUGUGCAAACACGAAAGUGGACGUAUACGGUGUGACGCCUGCCCGGUGCUGGAAGGUUAAUUGAUGGGGUCAGCCGCAAGGCGAAGCUCUUGAUCGAAGCCCCAGUAAACGGCGGCCGUAACUAUAACGGUCCUAAGGUAGCGAAAUUCCUUGUCGGGUAAGUUCCGACCUGCACGAAUGGCGUAAUGAUGGCCAGGCUGUCUCCACCCGAGACUCAGUGAAAUUGAACUCGCUGUGAAGAUGCAGUGUACCCGCGGCAAGACGGAAAGACCCCGUGAACCUUUACUAUAGCUUGACACUGAACAUUGAGCCUUGAUGUGUAGGAUAGGUGGGAGGCUUUGAAGCGUGGACGCCAGUCUGCGUGGAGCCAUCCUUGAAAUACCACCCUUUAAUGUUUGAUGUUCUAACUCGGCCCCAUAAUCUGGGGUGAGGACAGUGUCUGGUGGGUAGUUUGACUGGGGCGGUCUCCUCCCAAAGAGUAACGGAGGAGCACGAAGGUUAGCUAAUCACGGUCGGACAUCGUGAGGUUAGUGCAAAGGCAUAAGCUAGCUUGACUGCGAGAGUGACGGCUCGAGCAGGUACGAAAGUAGGUCUUAGUGAUCCGGUGGUUCUGAAUGGAAGGGCCAUCGCUCAACGGAUAAAAGGUACUCCGGGGAUAACAGGCUGAUACCGCCCAAGAGUUCAUAUCGACGGCGGUGUUUGGCACCUCGAUGUCGGCUCAUCACAUCCUGGGGCUGAAGUAGGUCCCAAGGGUAUGGCUGUUCGCCAUUUAAAGUGGUACGCGAGCUGGGUUUAGAACGUCGUGAGACAGUUCGGUCCCUAUCUGCCGUGGGCGUUGGAAGAUUGAGAGGGGUUGCUCCUAGUACGAGAGGACCGGAGUGAACGCACCACUGGUGUUCGGGUUGUCAUGCCAAUGGCAUUGCCCGGUAGCUAAGUGCGGAAAAGAUAAGCGCUGAAAGCAUCUAAGCGCGAAACUUGCCUCAAGAUGAGUCUUCCCUGGGCCUUUAAGGCCCCUGAAGGAACGUUUAAGACUAAGACGUUGAUAGGCUGGGUGUGUAAGUGCAGCGAUGCAUUGAGCUAACCAGUACUAAUGAUCCGUGAGGCUUAACCUU
rnacentral:rRNA from 1 species